GGAGGCCUCCCCACGCACGCUGUGGAGAAGAGAGUUAAAAAACAAUUCGGUUGGCUGAAGCCUGUGUCAGUUUUCAUGUGACCCGCCUUUUGGAGGCAUGACAACACAAAAAAAAGGGGCUGUUCUCGCGAGACUCUAAAGCGACGGUUAAGGGACAGGGGACGAGUGGAGCAAGUGGGCCUUAAUCUGAAAAUAACUUGAUUGUUUAAUGACAUUAAGAGAAAAAGAUUACGAGCUUUGAGAAGGAGGAAGCCUGGGAGUAACGACAGUUAAGGAGUUAGCUUGCGGAACCAACAUAAGAAUUUAUAACAGGGAGGUGUCGUUUGGGAUCAGACGCGUGGCCUGCAUUGCCGUAGCCACCGUGGUGUAAUGUUGCCACGUAAAAACCACAAAUCCCAGAAUUCAGUCGGGUGAUACACUGGCUCAGAAUGUGAUUGGCUGCGGGAACUAGUAGCUUCCUCAUUGGCUCCCGUGGAAGGAGUGAAUGCUGGGAUUUGCAGUCUGAUGGGGGAGCCGUGCUGGGUAAAAACCUUAGAAUCGUCGCGCACUCCGUUUCUGCCGCGGAUUCUUAUAUUCUCCAAUACAGGCUUUUUCUGUUAUGCAGUAUUUGCAGAGCAGGCUGCUGCAGUUUGGCCAGGCGCAUUGCGGAUCAGUUGGUGUUCUUGCCAGAGGCCUAGCAGCAGCUUCCUAGCGCUACUACUUGCACCUCCCAAGGCAGCUGAGCCUCCCCACUUCUCUGGCCAGACACACUCCUACCGUGCAUCGUAGAACCACCUCUCUGACGCCAGCAGGACCUUAGUAAGAGUAAUGGGUAUGCGACAGAUGGCUGUAGUCAGGCCCUACUGAUUUCAAAAUAGCUAAAAGACUAUCUCUGUAGUUAGCUUUUGUGGCCUUGAUGGACCUGCAGCUGUGUAUUGCUCCCUCAGACGUACAAAUUCGUGGAGAUGAGUUAUGAAAGUAUUUAGUAUCCAAGUUUUUCAUCUGCUUAAUAUUUGGGAUUUUAAACACAAGUUUUGCCAGCUAGGGGUCAACAUCCCUGAAAGUGUUAGGGAUGGAGCUAGCUGACAGGCCUUUCUAAAAGAACAGAGAGCCUGGUGAAGAGAUGAAAAAUCAAUCUCACUUGAUACUCCUGUUAAAAACAACAACAAACCUUUAAAUAGCUCUCUACUAACACAUAACUCAAAUCCGAUCAAAUCUACCUGACCUUUACCAUUGUUUUCUGUAUUCAUCAACUAUUACUGAGUACUUCAAAGUCAGGCAAUAGGAGUUAAUAAAACAGAUGAAACUUGGUUUAGCCUCAUAAUAUGUGUUUAAAUUUCACACAUACCUCUGAUCUGCUCUCAUGUAUCCUUCUACUUGAAUGUAUGUAAUAUAAAGGCCGGGUGCGGUGGCUCAUGCCUGUAACCCCACCACUUUGGGAGGCCGAGGCGGGCAGAUCAGGGCAUCAGGAGUUCGAGACCAGCCUGGCCAAUAUGGUGAAACCCCAUCUCUACUAAAAAUACAAAAAUUAGCUGGGCAUGGUGGCGCGCCUGUAGUCACAGCUACUCGGGAGGCUGACGUAGAAAAAUUGCUUGAACCCAGGAGGCGGAGGUUGCAGUGAGCCGAGAUCGUGCCACUGCACUCCAGCCUGGGCGACAGAGUGAGACAACGUCUUAAAAUGAUAAUAAUAAUAUAUACGUAAUAUAUGAUAUUUUUUCUCCCCAGUAAUGCCAUAUUUCAUUUUACCAAUCUGCCAUGAUUAAUAUAUCUUUCAUCAAACUGUCCUUAGUGCUUCAGCCACAAUUAAUUGCCUUUUGCUCUGAAUAGCCUUUCCACCAUAUUUAAUGUAAAACACACACACACACACACACACACAAAGAAGCAGGUCUUUUUUUGUAUGUGUGGACCUCAAGGCCUCAGUCAUUUGGUAUUAUCAAUAAUACUUUCUUUUAGCCUGUGUCCACUCAGAAAGCAAAUCAUGGUUUGUCUUUUUCUGUGUGUAAAUUCUUUCACUUUUGAAUUUCCAGCUGAACUAUAAUAUUUGGAGUCAGAUUCCUUAAAUAUAAAUCAUGUUUACAGCCACUUACUUGGUGUCAUAGGCAAUUCAUUUUCAUCUUUCUCAACUUCAGUUUCUUCGUGGGUAAAUGAUGAUCAGGAUAUUACCUCAGGUUGUUUUAAGAGUUAAAUAACUCCUAACCUCAGGUGAUCCACUGGCCUCAGCCUCCCAAAGUGCUGGGACUACAGGCAUGAGCCACCACGCCCGGCCCAGCCAAAUAUGGUGAAACCCUUUCUCUACUAAAAAUACAAAAAUUAGCUGGGCAGAUGAUAAGGAGAAAAUAAUGAAUGUCAAAGGAAACGUAAUUCCUCCAGUGCUGGUUGUCUCAACUGCGAUUGUUGUGGUUUGGAAAUGUAUCAACACCCAAGAAGGCUCUCUCUUGUGGAUGUAUCACUUAAAACACCCAGAAGUUGUUGACGGCGGCGGGCAGAAGGGCCGGUGGUUUCCAAGCUGCUUCAACAAUGGGACCCACAAUCCUCAAGCAGAGGAAGAAGAAGACAUAGACAAAGAAAAAGAGAAAGAAAAAAGAAAAGAAGAUGACAAAAAAAGAGCUUCGGCUAUGGAACUGGUUUAAUCCAUACGAUCGCCCAGAGGUGCUGACGGUGACCAGCUGGAAUGAGCCGGUUGUGUGGGAAGGCACUUAGAACAGAACCAUCCUAGAAAAUUAUUAUGCCAAACAGAAAAUUACUGUGGGUUGACGGUUUUUGCUGUCGGAAGACAUGUAGAGUAUUACUUGAAGGAGUUCAUAGCAUCUGCUGAUAGGUACUUCAUGGUAAGCCACAAAGUCAUGUUUUACAUCAUGGCCGAUAAUCCAGGAUGCUGUUGAUAGAGCUGGGUCCUCUGCGUUUCUUCAGAGUGUUUGAGAUCAAGCCCGAGAAGAGGUAGCAGGUCAUCAGCAUCGUGGGCAUGAAGACCAACAGGGAGCACAUGUUGGCCCACAUCCAACAGGAAGUUGACUUCCUCUUCUGCAUGGAUGUGGACCAAGUGUUCCAAGACAAUUUUGGAGUGGAGACCCUGGGCCAGUCCGUGGCUCAGCUAUAGGCCUGGUGGUACUGGACACAUCCUGAGGAGAAUACUUAGGAGAGGCAGAAGGAGUCGGUGGCAUACAUUCCAUUUGGCCAGGGGGAUUUUUAUUACCACGCAGCCAUUUUUGGUGGAACACCCAUUCACUUUCUCAACAUCACCCAGGAGUGCUUUAAGGGAAUCCUCCAGGACAGGAAAAAUGACCUCGAAGCCAAGUGGCAUGAUAAAGCCACCUAAACAAGUAUUUCUUCCUCAACAUACCCUCUAAGAUCUUAUCACCAGAAUGCUGCUGGGAUUAUCAUUAUAGGUCAUCAUGCAGAUAUUAAAAUUGUCAAGCUAUCUUGGCAGCAAAAAGAAUAUACGUUGGUUAGAAAUGAUGACUGACUUCAAAUUGUGCCAACAGUUUUUUGAAUUUGAGAGAAUUAUUAUUCUGGCUACUUCCUCAGAAAACAAUUUUAACUUUAAGAAAAUAUUAAUGAAACACCAACAUUGCAAUCACAUACUAUCUCUCCUUGUAACUUUGAGCAUUGUAAUAUGAGAGAAUGAAUCUAUGGUAAUCAGGUGUAAAUUCCCAGUGAUUUCUUAUGUAUUCUGAAUUUGGGGGAAAUACUAUCAGCUGAACCAGAAAGAACUUGUCAUAGGCAAAGAUAAAGCCAGAAACAGGCCAGGCACGGCGGCUUAUGCCUGUAAUCCCAGUACUUUGGGAGGCCAAGGGAGUGGAUCACCUGAGGUCAGGAGUUCGAGACCAGCUUGGCCAACAUGGUGAAAUCCCGUCUCUACUAAAAAUACAAAAAAUUAGCCGGGCAUGGUGGCGCACACCUGUAAUCCCACCUACUCAGGAGGCUGAGGCGGGAGAAUCACUUGAACCUGGGAGGCAGAGGUUGCAUUGAGCCAGAUUGUACCAUUGUACUCCAGCCUGGGCAGCAAGAGUGAAAUUCCAUCUAAAAACAAACAAACAAAACUCUACAUGUGUCAGAUAACAUCCUGGAGAAAAUCAGGUGGUAAGGGAAGUGUUGGCAGCGAGAUAUGGUUGUAGGGGGUUAUACCCUUGAUUCCAAUGUUUUCCUGUUUCCGAUGGAUCUAAAGAACAUGGAGUUUUUAUUUGCAGCAGGGGAACUUUCAGUAAGGACACCGUUUGCCUUGGCAAUCCUCAAAAUACUUCAAGAACAGAUUGUUUCAGACCAUCUGUAGUCCAUUCUUUUCUCAUCAGGAUGUCAUUUGGUUUCUGUGUGAAAGUUUGGUGGAGAUUCCCAGUAGAUAUUAUGAUGGUGCAUGGUCAGAGUCCCAGGGAACCUGAAUGAACCAAGGUGCUCAAUGUGAAGUGAAAACAGCCUCAACAUGAGUGCCAUGAAAUAGCAAAGAGAGAGUGCAAGAGAGGGGCUGAUCGCUGUGGGGCAGUGCCACCUUGCAGGAACACAUGCCAUGAGGUUGGUGCUUAAAUACAUCAUGGAUCCAGGCACUGAAUGGGAGGCAGUAUGGGUGAUUUCCAGCUUGGUUGACCCCAUGACUGACAAACAGCAGGGACUUGAAUGGAAGAUGCUUCUUGUUUUGCCCAAGUUGUAUUCGGUCUACCAGAUUCUGCAACUUAUGUCUUCAGAUCCUUGGUGAGGAGAUAUGGAUGCUGUCAGAGAAGGCAAAUGCCUGCAGUGGAUCGAAGAGGUUUUCAAGGAGUUCCAUUUCCAGAAUGUGGCUUCAUCAGAGGACAAUGGAUCAUCAGCUAGUCCCACCACUUAGCUAUUCUGGAACUCAGGGUUCCUGUGCCACUCAUACCCCAACUUGGAGGGCUGACAUCAAAGAGUAAACUGAAGAAAUCAAGUAACCUCUCAUUUUUCAUCUGCACUAUGGAAGUGUAACAACUAGACGUGUAACCAGCAAAAGGGUUCGGCCAUUUGUUUAUAGAAAGGAGUCAAAAUAAUAAUGACAUGUGAAAGAAAGAGAGCAAGACUUUACUACUUGUGUUAGCAAGGGGAAGAAUGGGUGAAAUUUUAAAAAAUUUCCACUCUUCCCUUUGUGGAGGGAAGAUAGAGAUUUUUAAGGAGAGAGGGGUUUGGAAUGUAGGAGAGGAAGUGGGUAUGAGGUGGCACGGUUUGUUUUAAUGACUUAUUGUGAAUUGUUGUUUUAUUUGGUGAAGGCCCUGGUGUCAUUUUGGGCUUUAAUUAGGUUACAAAUUAAUUGCAGUCAAUUUUAUGGUCAAUUUUUGUUUUUUCUUGGAGAUGGGGUCUCACUCUGUCUCCCAGGCUGGAGUGCAGUGGUGUGAUCUUGGCUCAAUGCAGUCUUGACCUCCCAGGCUCAGGUGAUCCUCUCCUACCUCAGCCUCCCUAGUAGCUAGGACCACAGGCAUGCACCAUCCAGCACAGCUAACUUUUUGUAUUUUUUUUUGGUGGAGAUGGGGUUUCACCAUGUUGCCCAGACUAGUCUCAAAUUUCUGGGCUCAAGCAGUCCUCCCACCUCGGCCUCACGAAGUGCUGGGAUAACAGGUGUGAGCCUUUGCAUCUGGCCUGUAGUCAGUUUUUAGCUGGGAUUGAGUUUCAGCCUUGACUGGGGAGAGAAUUUUGGAGGUGUCUGGUUUGUGUUAGGAUUUGGCCUUUGACGUUUUAAUGGAAAUAUAUGACUAGAUAUGUCAGUGUGGCAUGUACUUAACAAGGAUGUAAGUAAAUAAAUAUGCAUAACGCAUGGGAGUAUAGUAUGGGAAAGAAGGGGAGUGGCGAUUUAUAGUACAUUUUGAGGCUGUAUUUUAAGGCAAAAGGAAGCAGAUAUAUAGUUUGUCUAAAGUUAUAUUUUGAGAUUGGGAGAAGGGAGGAAAGAAAACAUUUUGAGGUUGUAAAAUACAUUUGUAGUUUAUUUUCAAGUUAUAUUUUGAGGCUGGGGAGAAAGUUGGAAAGGAAAAAAAGUUUUAAAAUGCAGUUUGAAGUUAAGCUGUUUGGUUGUAAUUUUUAUUGUCAAAUUUUAUUUUAUUUGUAUGGAAAAUGGCUGCCAUAAUUGUUUUGGCUAUUUUUUUGUUGAGAAGGGGCAUAGUUUGGGGGUAUUAGAAUGGAAUUGAUUUAUUUGGAUUUGGAAAUAUUUAUGAGUAUUUGGGCCUAUAGACAAUAUUUAUUGGAGUGUUAUAGUUUGAGGUUUAGAAAGUUUUGGGGAAAGUCUGUCUUACAGUUUUACAUAGAGGGUAUAAUAGUAGUAAGUUUUAUAACACAGGGAUAUAUCUACCCCUGUAGGCCAGGCCAAUGUUAUAAGUAGUUUUUGUCUCUAACAUGGUCCUGACUUGAAUUAGAAUGUCCCCUAUUGAUUUAGUGACAAUGUAGGGUCGCACAUAGAUUUAAUUUUUUGGUGUAUAUUUUGUAGGGCUAUUUGAGGCAUUUUUGAAUUUUUUAAUUAUGUAGGGUUUUUAUUGUUAAUUGUAAUUGGAUGUGAUGACACGUUGGCUAAUAUAUAUAUUUAAUAGGCUGUAAAUAGGGAUAUGAAUAUUUAUGAAGGUGGCUUUAAGUCUUGUUUAGUUUAUGAGGGUGGAUUAGUUUAGUUAGUUGUUUUAUUUAGAAGGUAGUAUUGUACAUGGGCUAGGCCUUUUUAUGUGAUGAAGGCAGAAAAAAGUUUAUUAAGAGGCAUUUUUAUGGAAAUAGAAAAGCAAAUAUUAAUGUUGGAAACUAUUUGGAUGUUAAAGUACUUUUAGUUAUAGAGGAGGAAGGCAGUAGUAAUUUGACGUUUUCUUUGUCUGUGUUAUAAGGAAUAAGCUUUAGUUUGUAAAGCCUCAGGAAAGAGGUAGUAGUAAUUUUAUUGAGUUUAAGUUAGAAAAAUAAAAGAAAAAAAUUGAAAAUAUUAGUUUGGAAAUUUGUACUCUAGAAAGAAUUUAGGAUUUAGUUAAAAUUAUAGAAAAUAAUAAAAACUCAAAAACAGUGGAUAAGA
rnacentral:lncRNA from 1 species